GAAAUGCGAUAAGUAAUGUGAAUUGCAGAAUUCAGUGAAUCAUCGAAUCUUUGAACGCACCUUGCACUCCUUGGUAUUCCGAGGAGCAUGCCUGUUUGAGUGUCAUUUGUUUCUUCAAACCAUACAGUUUAUAUGCUAUGGUUUGGAUAUGGGGCUUGCUGGCUGUAGGAAAAUGGUCUAGCUGUCCUGAAAUGUAUUAGCAAGGCUCUUGUUACUAGUCUCUAAGGUGUGAUAUAUAUCUAUACCAAGGGAUUUUAGUCUCAUUAAAUGCAGUCUGGCUUUUAAACAGUCUCUUUUGUGGGGCGAGCGAACUUCUGACCACUUGACCUCAAAUCAGGUAGGACUACCCGCUGAACUUAA
rnacentral:rRNA from 1 species